rnacentral:rRNA from 1 species
UGGCCUCAGAUCGGGUGGGACUACCCGCUGAACUUAAGCAUAUCAAUAAGCGGAGGAAAAGAAACUAACAAGGAUUCCCCUAGUAANGGCGAGUGAAGAGGGAAAAGCUCAAAUUUUGAAUCUGGUGUCUUUGGCAUCCGAGUUGUAAUCUAGAGAAGUGUUUUCUGCCUUGGACCACACAUAAAUUCCCUGGAAUGGGGUGUCAUAGAGGGUGAGAAUCCCGUUUGUGGUGUGGACUACCUUGGCUCUGUGAUACACUCUCAACGAGUCGAGUUGUUUGGGAAUGCAGCUCAAAAUGGGUGGUAAAUUCCAUCUAAAGCUAAAUACUGGCGAGAGACCGAUAGCGAACAAGUACCGUGAGGGAAAGAUGAAAAGCACUUUGGAAAGAGAGUGAAACAGUACGUGAAAUUGUUGAAAGGGAAGCGUUUGAAGUCAGUCACAUUGGUCGGAAUUCAGCCUGGCUUCUGCCUGGUUCACUUUCUGGCAAAUGGGUCAGCAUCAAUUUUGAUUGAGGGAGAAAGACUUGAGGAAUGUGGCUGUCUUC